UUUAAAUUGAGAGUUUGAUCCUGGCUCAGGACGAACGCUGGCGGCGUGCCUAACACAUGCAAGUCGAGCGAGGGGAGUUCUUCG
rnacentral:rRNA from 1 species